CAGGGACAGGUGUCGAGUAGCACAGCUGGCCCUGUACGACGGGCCUUUUGCUGACCUCGGGGAUUGUGUUGUUAUGGUGUCCUGUUUUGUAAAGCUCUGAAAACCUACAACAUGUUGUGCUUUGGAAUCUAUCGAUUACGAGACGCACACCUGAACACGCAGAGUCAGUGCACCAAGCGGUACGUCAUCACCAAUCCGCCGUACGCCAUUUGAGCUGGUGCCCUCUGACCUGAUCUUCUGCCUGAUGCAGUUCGACCACAACGCCGGCCAGUCCAGAACCAGCCUCAGUCACUCUUCCCAUUCGUCGCCAUUCCUCCAGCAAAAGAGCUCCUCCCCUCCACUCCAUCCCAAGCACUAACCGCACCAACCGCACCAAAAGCAGGGACUCACGAGACAAACAAAAAAAAGACAUGGUUUACAGAUGAGCCAGACAAUACCCUUGAGGACCACACAGAUCAAGUCUGUGAAUACUCUCGCCAUCAACCAAGUCUCUCAGUAUAAGUCCACAAGCAGC